AGCAUGACCCGCGUCAUUGGGACUGAGACACUGCCCAGACAUCUACGGAUGGCUGCAGUCGAGAAUCUUCGGCAAUGGGCGAAAGCCUGACCGAGCGACGCCGCGUGCGGGAUGAAGGCCCUCGGGUUGUAAACCGCUGUCGUUGGGGAGGAAAUGCAAAAGGGCUAUCCCUUCUGUUUGACCGAUCCAG
rnacentral:rRNA from 1 species